GAUGAACGCUGGCGGCGUGCCUAACACAUGCAAGUCGAACGGAGCUGCUUUGAUGAGAUCUUCGGAUGGAUUUAAAACAGCUUAGUGGCGGACGGGUGAGUAACGCGUGGGUAACCUGCCUCACACUGGGGGAUAACAGUUAGAAAUAGCUGCUAAUACCGCAUAAGCGCACAGUUCCGCAUGGAACAGUGUGAAAAACUCCGGUGGUGUGAGAUGGACCCGCGUCUGAUUAGCCAGUUGCGGGUAACGGCCCACCAAAGCGACGAUCAGUAGCCGGCCUGAGAGGGUGAACGGCCACAUUGGGACUGAGACACGGGCCCAAACUCCUACGGGAGCAGCAGUGGGAAUAUUGGCACAAUGGGGGAAACCCUGAUGCAGCGACGCCGCGUGAGUGAUGAAGGUCUUCGGAUUGAAACUCCUGUUGUUGAGGUAAGAUAAUGACGGUACUCAACAAGGAAGUGAACGGCUAACUACGUGCCAGCAGCCGACGG
rnacentral:rRNA from 1 species